CGAGUUCCCAUACGAUCACUGAAGUUAAGCAACGUCGAGACUGGUCACUAUCUAGAUGGGUGACCGCUUUGGAAUACCAGGUGGUGUAAG